rnacentral:tRNA from 3 species
GCGCCUGUAGCUCAGCUGGAUAGAGUAGCGGCUUCCGAAGCCGUUGGUCGGGGGUUCGAAUCCCUCCAGGCGCGCCA